ACAGUUUAGGGUUAAGAUAUGAUUCCAGGUAACAGAAGCCAAUGAGAGUACACCCAGUUGAUGUUUGUGACAUCAUCUUCCAGCCGGAGUACACAGAACAGCUGAGGCAGCGUUCAGUUUCAGCCCGAGUGCCAUUAUGAUGGAUGUUUACAUGUCUUCAUUGAGAGCCAAUUAUCUUGCUUUUGUGUGAGGCCCAAGGAUCACUCAUGCUGCCAGGCUGCACAGAGCGCUGUUGGAUCUAGCUGAACGAAUUGUUUUCCCUGUCUCGGGUAAGAGCCUGUUCCGUUUACCUUCUCAUUCGGAAGAGAGGUGGAUGUGUCUAACGGAGAGAAGAGUGCAAGGGGCUGAGAGCUGAGAGCAGCGUUCCUAUCCGGUUCAUUCUUAAAGAUUCAUCCUUCUCUCUAGUGAGAGAAAAAAAGAAACUGUGUUGGGACUCAUCAAGAACAAGGCAACACAGCUGUGCACCUUCACUACUGAGAAGACUGAAUGUUCUGUUCUUGAAACGCAGCAAGGUCAUCACCUAUCAAGCAUCACACUUAUGGAAUCUUGCAAAGUCAAUAGGAAGAAGUGAUGGAUCUGAACAUGCAGUUUCUAAAAGAAACUGAAGCAAAGUGGCUCAAAGCGAGAAUUAUACAUCAUUCAUCCUUCUUUCGCUAAUGUCUAAGACUGUGUUUGAU